GACGAACGCUGGCGGCGUGCUUAACACAUGCAAGUCGAACGAAGAGCGAUGGAAGCUUGUUUCUAUCAAUCUUAGUGGCGAACGGGUGAGUAACGCGUAAUCAACCUGCCCUUCAGAGGGGGACAACAGUUGGAAACGACUGCUAAUACCGCAUACGAUCUAAUCUCGGCAUCGAGGAAAGAUGAAAGGUGGCCUCUAUUUAUAAGCUAUCACUGAAGGAGGGGAUUGCGUCUGAUUAGCUAGUUGGAGGGGUAACGGCCCACCAAGGUGAUGAUCAGUAGCCGGUCUGAGAGGAUGAACGGCCACAUUGGGACUGAGACACGGCCCAGACUCCUACGGGAGGCAGCAGUGGGGAAUCUUCCGCAAUGGACGAAAGUCUGACGGAGCAACGCCGCGUGAGUGAUGACGGCCUUCGGGUUGUAAAGCCCUGUUAAUCGGGACGAAAGGCCUUCUUGCGAACAGUAGAAGGA
rnacentral:rRNA from 1 species